rnacentral:rRNA from 1 species
UACAGGGGGCUCGAGCGUUAUUCGGAAUCACUGGGCUUAAAGGGUGCGUAGGCGGCUCGCCAAGUGCUUUGUGAAAUCCCACAGCUCAACUGUGGAACAGCAGGGCAAACUGGCGAGCUUGAGGCAGGUAGGGGCCGGAAGAACAGUUGGUGGAGCGGUGAAAUGCGUAGAUAUCAACUGGAAUGCCGAUGGGGAAGCCGUCCGGCUGGGCCUGUCCUGACGCUGAGGCACGAAAGCGUGGGGAGCAAACAGG